CCUACGGGUGGCAGCAGUAGGGAAUAUUGCACAAUGGGGGAAACCCUGAUGCAGCAACGCCGCGUGGAGGAUGAAGGUUUUCGGAAUGUAAACUUCUAUCGGCAGAGAAGAUAAUGACGGUACCUGACUAAUAAGCACCGGCUAACUACGUGCCAGCAGCCGCGGUAAUACGUAGGGUGCAAGCGUUACCCGGAUUUACUGGGCGUAAAGGGCGCGUAGGCGGGAUAGCAAGUCGGAUGUGAAAACCCAUGGCUUAACCCUGGAACUGCAUUGGAAACUGCCGAACUAGAGUGUGGGAGAGGUAAGUGGAAUUCUUGGUGUAGCGGUGAAAUCCGGAGAUAUUAGGAGGAAUACCAGUGGCGAAGGCGGCUUGCUGGACGAUGACUGACGCUGAGGCUCGAAAGCGUGGGGAGCAAACAGGAUUAGAUACCCGGGUAGUC
rnacentral:rRNA from 1 species